rnacentral:ncRNA from 1 species
CAAAGGUUUGGUCCUGACUUUACUAUCAGCUUUAACCCAAUUUAUACAUGCAAGUAUCCGCACCCCUGUGAGAAUGCCCUCAAUCCCCCGCCCGGGGACGAGGAGCGGGCAUCAGGCACGACCUAGCUCUCAGCCCAAGACGCCUUGCUAUGCCACACCCCUAAGGGAUUUCAGCAGUAAUAAAUAUUAAGCCAUAAGUGUAAACUUGACUUAGUUAAGGUUAACAAGGGUCGGUAAAAUUCGUGCCAGCCACCGCGGUUAUACGAAAGACCCUAGUUGAUAGCCACGGCGUAAGGGUGGUAAGGGAAAAAGUAAAUAAAGCUAAAGACCCUCUAAGUCGUCAUACACAUUACGAGGGCACGAAACCCAAACACGAAAGUAGCUUUAAACAAGAUUUACCUGACCCCACGAAAGCUAAGAAACAAACUGGGAUUAGAUACCCCACUAUGCUUAGCCCUAAACCUAGACAUAUCUUUACAUAUAUGUCCGCCCGGGUACUACGAGCACAGCUUAAAACCCAAAGGACUUGGCGGUGUCUCAGACCCACCUAGAGGAGCCUGUUCUAGAACCGAUAACCCCCGUUAAACCUCACCCCUUCUUGUUUUUUCCGCCUAUAUACCGCCGUCGUCAGCUUACCCUGUGAAGGCCUAACAGUAAGCAAAAUGGGCCCACCCAAAAACGUCAGGUCGAGGUGUAGCGCACGAAGGGGGAAGAAAUGGGCUACAUUUUCUAAAUAACAGAAUACUACGAAUGAGCACUCUGAAAUAUAGUGCCUGAAGGUGGAUUUAGUAGUAAAAAGCAAAUAGAGAGUCCUUUUGAAUUAGGCUCUGAGACGCGCACACACCGCCCGUCACUCUCCCCUCAUACCCUUAAAACUAACAUUCCUAAUACCCUAUUAAAUAGUACGGGGAGGCAAGUCGUAACAUGGUAAGUGUACCGGAAGGUGUACUUGGAAUAAC